rnacentral:rRNA from 1 species
GGUUCGAUUAUGGCUCAGAUUGAACGCUGGCGGGAUGUUUUACACAUGCAAGUCGAACGGCAGCACGGACUUCGGUCUGGUGGCGAGUGGCGAACGGGUGAGUAAUGUAUCGGAACGUGCCUAGUAGCGGGGGAUAACUACGCGAAAGCGUAGCUAAUACCGCAUGCCGUUCCCUUCGGGGAAAGCGGGGACCUUCGGGCCUCGCACUAUUAGAGCGGCCGAUAUCGGAUUAGCUAGUUGGUGGGUAACGGCUCACCAAGGCGACGAUCCGUAGCUGGUUUGAGAGGACGACCAGCCACACUGGGACUGGAGACACGGCCCAGACUCCUACGGGAGGCAGCAGUGGGGAAUUUUGACAAUGGGGGAAACCCCGAUCCAGCCAUCCCGCGUGCGAUGAAGGCCUUCGGGUUGUAAAGCACUUUGGCAGGAAGAAUCGGCACGAUAAUACCCCGUGCAACUGACGGUACCUGCAGAAUAAGCACCGGCUAACUACGUGCCAGCAGCCGCGGUAAUAAUGGUGGGUGCAAGCGUUAAUCGGAAUUACUGGCGUAAGCGUGCGCAGGCGGUUCGAAAGAAAGAUGUGAAAUCCCAGAGCUUAACUUUGGAACUGCAUUUUUAACUACCGAGCUAGAGGUCAGAGGGAGGUGGAAUUCCGUGUGUAGCAGUGGAAAUGCGUAGAUAUGCGGAGGAACACCGAUGCAGGAAGGCAGCCUCCUGGGAUAACACUGACGCUCAUGCACGAAAGCGUGGGAGCAAACAGGAUUAGAUACCCUGGUAGUCCACGCCCUAAAACGAUGUCAACUAGCUUUCGUUGGGGCCUUCGCCUGGUAGCGCAGCUAACGCGUGAAGUUGACCGCCUGGGGAGUACGGUCGCAAGAUUAAAACUCAAAGGAAUUGACGGGGACCCGCACAAGCGGUGGAUGAUGGAUUAAUUCGAUGCAACACGAAAACCUUACCUACCCCUUGACAUGUCUGGAAUCCCGAAGAGAUUUGGGAGUGCUCGCAAGAGAACCGGAACACAGGUGCUGCAUGGCUGUCGUCAGCUCGUGUCGUGAGAUGUUGGGUUAAGUCCCGCAACGAGCGCAACCCUUGUCAUUAGCUACGAAAGGGCACUCUAAUGAGACUGCCGCGACAAACCGAGGAAGGUGGGGAUGACGUCAAGUCCUCAUGGCCCCCUAUGGGUAGGGCUUCACACGUCAUACAAUGGUCGGGACAGAGGGUCGCCAACCCGCGAGGGGGAGCCAAUCCCAGAAACCCGAUCGUAGUCCGGAUCGCAGUCUGCAACCUGACGGUGAAGUCGGAAUCGCUAGUAAUCGCGGAUCAGCAUGUCGCGGUGAAUACGUUCCCGGGUCUUGUACACACACCGCCCGUCACACCAUGGGAGUGGGUUUUACCAGAAGUAGUUAGCCCAACCGUAAGGAGGGCGAUUACCACGGGUAGGAUUCAUGACUGGGGUGAAGUCGUAACAAGGUAGCUCUGUUAC